rnacentral:lncRNA from 1 species
GAAUAAUGCUCUAAAUCCUUAUUAAAAGAAGCUUUCAAAUACUCUCAUUUGGCCUUAUUAUUCCUUAAAACAUUUUCCAACCAUUCUAUACAUAAUUUAAUCAAUCCUAACACUCAUACACAUUCAUAAGAAUUUUAUAUUAUUUUUUGUUUUUAUUAUCUUCUAACUAAUAAUUUAAAAUCAGCCAAGAAUAAUUUUUCAUCUAUAAAUAAUUUUCAUCCACAAAUAAAAAUUCAUCCACUUAUGACGUUCAUCUACUCAAAAUUCCAUCCAAUUCAUCCAAUUCAUCCAAUUUUAAC